rnacentral:rRNA from 1 species
GUCGAGAGGCUUUGGCAAUGGGGGAAACCCUGACCAAGCGACGCCGCGUGGAGGAUGAAGGCCCUUGGGUUGUAAACUCCUUUUGUCGGGGAAGAAGUGCGAUCAGGUGAACAAUCUGGUCGUUUGACGGUACCCGACGAAUAAGCUCCGGCUAACUCCGUGCCAGCAGCCGCGGUAACACGGGGGGAGCAAGCGUUGUUCGGAAUCACUGGGCGUAAAGGGCGUGUAGGCGGAUGGGUAAGUGGAACGUGAAAUCCCUCGGCUCACCCGAGGAUCUGCGUCCCAAACUGCCUGUCUUGAGUACGGGAGAGGAUGAGGGAAUUCCUGGUGUAGCGGUGAAAUGCGUAGAUAUCAGGAGGAACACCGGUGGCGAAGGCGCUCAUCUGGCCCGAUACUGACGCUGAGGCGCGAAAGCUAGGGGAGCAAACGGGAUUAGAUACCCGUGUAGUCC